UGUUCCAAAUUGACUAAAUAAACUAAUUCAAAUAAAAAAAAAUACUGAUAAUGUGUAUUUCUUUUUUAUUUGCUCUUUGAGAGGGAAGUUUACCAUCUCAACUUUUCUGUGUUAGGCACAUGAUCUACCUCUGCAUUCAUUGGCAUAUGUGAGCAUGGACUUGACCCGAAAGUGAAAGACUGAAUAAAAAUGUUUAACAAGGGGGAAAAAAAGGAAGAAAAAAACACUUAAAAAAUUCAGCAGCUGACCUAACUUCUUGGGAGUCUGAAAAAAUACUCAUAAUCAUCAUGCUGUUACCAAAAGAACACACUAGAGGAGAAUUCGCCUUCAAGGGACUUCCAGGCUAAUGUUUGUCUAGACUGAACAAUAGGUCAUCAAGCACUUGUUUAGCAACCAAGAUGGGAGUAGUAGACUUAGUCAAGUCUCAAGUCCCCUUUUAUUGUCCUCCUAAGUUUCUCUCAUUGUAAUUAGACAUGUCCUAGGUACCUUACCUGUUUCCCCAGGUCC
rnacentral:lncRNA from 1 species